GAGGAACCUGCCUGACGUCCCGGCAAGGGGGCAAGGGCGUGGGGGACACACCUCGGCACACUGCCUUCUGCCGAGUCAGCCGCGCGUGUAGGCUGCCGUGCCGGGAAAGGCCUGCCAAUACAGAGGAAGAAGCAGAAAGAGCAGCGCAGAGGCAAUGCAGGCUGACCACGUGACCACGACUAAGGGCCGAAGCGUGGCUGUGGAGAAGAGUGCAGAUCUGACAUAUAUUUUGGAGUUCAGCCCUCAGGAUUUCCUAACGAUUGGCUGUCAGAGUGAGGAGAAGGAUGAAACGAUGAUGAUUCCUAAUGUUCUGCGUUUGAGAAAGGCUAAACCCGAGAGCUGAAACCUGAUUGGAGCAGGGAGAAGGGAGUGUGGAGCAAUCUAGGGGCUGGCUUCUGUCAAGGCAAAGGCGAAAGCCAGCAUCACAGGCAGAGAACUAAGCGCUGAGCCAGCAGCAUGGGAGGAAGCGGAGCCUCUGAUGUCUGCAUCAGGCAGAGCCCUCCGGGGGCCAAACUGGCUCUAGGUGUGU